AGAGAUUGAACAUAAGAGUUUGAUCCUGGCUCAGAUUGAACGCUGGCGGCAUGCUUUACACAUGCAAGUCGGACGGCAGCACAGGGAAGCUUGCUUCUCGGGUGGCGAGUGGCGAACGGGUGAGUAACAUAUCGGAACGUACCGGGUAGCGGGGGAUAACUGAUCGAAAGAUCAGCUAAUACCGCAUACGUCUUGAGAGGGAAAGCAGGGGACCUUCGGGCCUUGCGCUAUCCGAGCGGCCGAUAUCUGAUUAGCUGGUUGGCGGGGUAAAGGCCCACCAAGGCGACGAUCAGUAGCGGGUCUGAGAGGAUGAUCCGCCACACUGGGACUGAGACACGGCCCAGACUCCUACGGGAGGCAGCAGUGGGGAAUUUUGGACAAUGGGCGCAAGCCUGAUCCAGCCAUGCCGCGUGUCUGAAGAAGGCCUUCGGGUUGUAAAGGACUUUUGUCAGGGAAGAAAAGGCCGUUGCCAAUAUCGGCGGCCGAUGACGGUACCUGAAGAAUAAGCACCGGCUAACUACGUGCCAGCAGCCGCGGUAAUACGUAGGGUGCGAGCGUUAAUCGGAAUUACUGGGCGUAAAGCGGGCGCAGACGGUUACUUAAGCAGGAUGUGAAAUCCCCGGGCUCAACCCGGGAACUGCGUUCUGAACUGGGUGACUCGAGUGUGUCAGAGGGAGGUGGAAUUCCACGUGUAGCAGUGAAAUGCGUAGAGAUGUGGAGGAAUACCGAUGGCGAAGGCAGCCUCCUGGGAUAACACUGACGUUCAUGUCCGAAAGCGUGGGUAGCAAACAGGAUUAGAUACCCUGGUAGUCCACGCCCUAAACGAUGUCAAUUAGCUGUUGGGCAACUUGAUUGCUUGGUAGCGUAGCUAACGCGUGAAAUUGACCGCCUGGGGAGUACGGUCGCAAGAUUAAAACUCAAAGGAAUUGACGGGGACCUGCACAAGCGGUGGAUGAUGUGGAUUAAUUCGAUGCAACGCGAAGAACCUUACCUGGUUUUGACAUGUGCGGAAUCCUCCGGAGACGGAGGAGUGCCUUCGGGAGCCGUAACACAGGUGCUGCAUGGCUGUCGUCAGCUCGUGUCGUGAGAUGUUGGGUUAAGUCCCGCAACGAGCGCAACCCUUGUCAUUAGUUGCCAUCAUUCGGUUGGGCACUCUAAUGAGACUGCCGGUGACAAGCCGGAGGAAGGUGGGGAUGACGUCAAGUCCUCAUGGCCCUUAUGACCAGGGCUUCACACGUCAUACAAUGGUCGGUACAGAGGGUAGCCAAGCCGCGAGGCGGAGCCAAUCUCACAAAACCGAUCGUAGUCCGGAUUGCACUCUGCAACUCGAGUGCAUGAAGUCGGAAUCGCUAGUAAUCGCAGGUCAGCAUACUGCGGUGAAUACGUUCCCGGGUCUUGUACACACCGCCCGUCACACCAUGGGAGUGGGGGAUACCAGAAGUAGGUAGGGUAACCGCAAGGAGCCCGCUUACCACGGUAUGCUUCAUGACUGGGGUGAAGUCGUAACAAGGUAGCCGUAGGGGAACCUGCGGCUGGAUCACCUCCUUUCUAGAG
rnacentral:rRNA from 1 species